rnacentral:rRNA from 1 species
UACGUAGGGACCGAGCGUUUGUCCGGAUUCAUUGGGCGUAAAGAGCUCGUAGGCGGCUGUUCAAGCCGAACGUGAAAACUCGGAGCUCAACUCCGAGCCUGCGUUCGAUACUGGACGGCUAGAGUCUGGUAGGGGGAUCUGGAAUUCCUGGUGUAGCGGUGGAAUGCGCAGAUAUCAGGAGGAACACCGGUGGCGAAGGCGGGAUCCUGGGCCGUACUGACGCUGAGGAGCGAAAGCGUGGGGAGCAAACAGG